UACAGAGGUCCCAAGCGUUGUUCGGAUUCAUUGGGCGUAAAGCGCACGUAGGCGGCAUCGCAAGUCGGAUGUGAAAUCCCACGGCUUAACCAUGGAAGUGCAUCCGAAACUGCAGUGCUUGAGUACUUAAGAGGAUCGCGGAAUUCCCGGUGUAGAGGUGAAAUUCGUAGAUAUCAGGAGGAACACCGGUGGCGAAGGCGGGUCUCUGGGCAACAACUGACGCUGAGGAGCGAAAGCGUGGGGAGCGAACAGG
rnacentral:rRNA from 1 species